UACGUAGGGACCGAGCGUUGUCCGGAUUCAUUGGGCGUAAAGAGCUCGUAGGCGGCCAACUAAGUCAGACGUGAAAUCCCUCGGCUUAACCGGGGAACUGCGUCUGAUACUGGAUGGCUUGAGUUUGGGAGAGGGAUGCGGAAUUCCAGGUGUAGCGGUGAAAUGCGUAGAUAUCUGGAGGAACACCGGUGGCGAAGGCGGCAUCCUGGACCAACACUGACGCUGAGUGAGCGAAAGCCAGG
rnacentral:rRNA from 1 species